UGGGAUUUCCAUGAUCAUAUUCAACCUACAUACAAAGUAGCAUGCAAGCAUUACACCAAUUGCAGCUUGUUGAGUCCGCAACCCAGAAAGGUCCACUCAACAAAAUAUACCAAAGUAAACACCCAACCAAAUUACUUUCUCCAAAUUGUCUUGUGGCAGUAUAGAUACCAAAGGGAUGCAAUUGCCCCAAUGUCCAGAGCAAGUCGUUGCCCCUGUCAACCAAAUAAACACUUAGCUAAAUCACCAAACUCGAUAUUAGGGUAAACAUGUUUUUUUACCGCAGCAGUAAUGAGAAAAUACCCCUGGUGCGCAACAGCAUUUGCAUCCCUUGCUUCUAUUAAAAAAAAUUAUGUUCAAAAAAAAAAUAUAAACAUAUAUAUCUAACUUCAUCCCUUACCUUUGUCUGUCCCAACCAAAACGAUCGAAGCAUCUGGAGCAUGCUACCUCAGAAACUAGACCCACUGCAACAUAAGCAGAAAAAAACUAGCUUAAUGCAAAUGAUAAACUAGGCAGUAAUGCUAUUAAUAACUCUAGGGCUUCCUUAUUAUGGAAUUGCUUUGGUAGCUUUUUUACCAGGAAGAGAGUUAUUUUUGCUCGUUUGGGA
rnacentral:lncRNA from 1 species